UGGGGGCCUCUGGGGUUGUUAAAAAUGUGUCUGUGGCUGGGGAUCCAUACAGUGGGGUUGGCAGAGAACAGGUUCCUCUGCAGGGUGCUUGUGGUUCGCAUGACAGCCGAGUUUGGAACUUGGGAGCUAUCUCCCCGGGGAGUCAGGGGGAGAAGGGCAGAUGUCAGCGUGAGAAGGGGGCAUCGUGCCCAUGUCCACAUCAGGAUGUGAAGUAGGUGUGGAGGGCAAGCCUGCAGGUGCCUGGGCGGCCGUGGUGGGAGCGCCUACAGUGGAAGUGGCUGCCUGGACACUGAGAACCGAGUUACUGAGGGAAGCUACUGGGACAGGGGCAGGUGAGAAACAAGGAGGGGGAGAACCUACACACAUGGGUGAUGGGGAUGACCUUGGGCAGGAAGGCUGCUGCAGGAAGGUGGUGGAGGUGCUGGGCGGUGUGGGGAUGUCAGAAGUAGGCGGUGCUGUAGCAGUGACUGAAUGAAAAGGGCCCUCCUUCUCUCUUGGUGGAGUUCCCACUAUGGGACUGGGACUAAGAGCAGGAGGAGCAUCAGCCAGAACUGGAGGAGGGGAGGAGGAGAAUUGGGGGCCAUGUCUCUUGUUCCCUGAUCAGUAUUGGAAUUGGGGAAGGUGGAAGGACAAGCGGGAUCAGGGGCCUGGCACACAGGUCAGCCAGGUUGGUGGUGGUAUCAGGGACCUCUGAGGUGUGAGUGGUCACGGACAGGGAGCGCCUGCACUCUCCGGGCAGGUGGGGAGAAGGAAGGGGCAGGCCCAGUGGCACUGCCAUCAGCCUGGACCUCCGUUUUAUCCUCUGAGUUCUUGUUUGUCUAGCAGUCAGUGCUGUUCUCCAUGUUACCCCGGUUUUGGGCAAUAGCUAAGCGAGGAUGUUUUGGAGAUGAGGGCAGCUGACAUCGUGGACGUACGUGCUGAGCCUGUCAGCUUCUCGGGCUUGUCCCUCCGGUUCAUCAAGGGGAGGCUGCCGGAGGGGAGCACCUGGCCUACAUUCUGCCUCUGGGGCUCGGUGGAAAAGCCGGCUGGGAAUGGCACACAAUCCCAGUGGAACAGCCUGUGGCCAGGGUGGUCGACAGAUGCAGGAGAAACGGGGUGCUUCUUGGCAUGAGGGGCAGCAUCCCGUGUGGGAAGGACUGGAGGGCAGUGAAGGUGGUAGGGCUGAGGAUCGCGGCGGGGUGGGGCAUGAAACUUUCGAGGGACGUUGCUCAUGAUGAAAAUCUGUUGUGCACCAAAUGAUCUGAAAGUAAGCCGUAAUAAAACCAGGAGUGUCUGCUUUG